UACGGAGGGUGCGAGCGUUGUCCGGAAUCAUUGGGCGUAAAGGGCGCGUAGGUGGCCCGGUCAGUCUUUGGUGAAAGCGCGGGGCUCAACCCUGCGUCGGCCAGGGAUACUGCCGCGGCUCGAGCACUGUAGAGGCAGGCGGAAUUCCGGGUGUAGCGGUGGAAUGCGUAGAGAUCCGGAAGAACAUCGGUGGCGAAAGCGCUCUACUGGACCGCAACUGACACUCAGGGACGAAAGCUAGGGGAGCGAAUGGG
rnacentral:rRNA from 1 species